rnacentral:rRNA from 1 species
UACGGAGGGUGCGAGCGUUGUCCGGAAUCACUGGGCGUAAAGGGCGCGUAGGCGGCGCGAGCAGUCGAUCGUGAAAGUCCGGAGCUCAACUCCGGAUCGGCGGUUGAUACUCUCGUGCUUGAGCACUGUAGAGGCAGAUGGAAUUCCGGGUGUAGCGGUGGAAUGCGUAGAGAUCCGGAAGAACACCGGUGGCGAAGGCGGUCUGCUGGGCAGUUGCUGACGCUGAUGCGCGACAGCGUGGGGAGCAAACAGG